GUGCCAGCAGCCGCGGUAAUACGGAGGAUCCAAGCGUUAUCCGGAAUCAUUGGGUUUAAAGGGUCCGUAGGUGGAUAAUUAAGUCAGAGGUGAAAUCUUGCAGCUCAACUGUAAAAUUGCCUUUGAUACUGGUUAUCUUGAGUUAUUAUGAAGUAGUUAGAAUAUGUAGUGUAGCGGUGAAAUGCAUAGAUAUUACAUAGAAUACCAAUUGCGAAGGCAGAUUACUAAUAAUCAACUGACACUGAUGGACGAAAGCGUGGGUAGCGAACAGGAUUAGAUACCCUGGUAGUCCACGCCGUAAACGAUGGUUACUAGCUGUUUGGACCUUGUGUCUGAGUGGCUAAGCGAAAGUGAUAAGUAACCCACCUGGGGAGUACGUUCGCAAGAAUGAAACUCAAAGGAAUUGACGGGGGCCCGCACAAGCGGUGGAGCAUGUGGUUUAAUUCGAUGAUACGCGAGGAACCUUACCAGGGCUUAAAUGUAAGUUGCAUUAGUUAGAGAUAGCUAUUUCUUCGGACCACUUACAAGGUGCUGCAUGGUUGUCGUCAGCUCGUGCCGUGAGGUGUCAGGUUAAGUCCUAUAACGAGCGCAACCCCUGUUGUUAGUUGCCAGCGAGUCAUGUCGGGAACUCUAACAAGACUGCCGGUGCAAACCGUGAGGAAGGUGGGGGAUGACGUCAAAUCAUCACGGGCCCUUACGUCCUGGGCUACACACGUGCUACAUGGGUCGG
rnacentral:rRNA from 1 species